UUUAGUUCUUAGCAUCAGCUGUCUGAACCUUAAGUUAUUCAGUUUAAUUACAGGCUGAAUUGUAGGCGAUCAUUCUCUGCCUCUUCUUAUUAUACAUAUAUCCGUUGCCUUGUUUACACCAAAUGCAUCAAACGAAUUCGAUCUCUCGCGCUUAUGUGAAGGUUAAAUACAACUUCACAAUUCUUUAACUGCAAAUAUAUAAGUUAUUGUUAAGUCAUCUGAGGUGUUCACAGAGGUGAAGAUUUACACUGUGGAGCUCUGGAUUAUGACACCGUGUACUCUGGGAGUGACACACCACGAGACAGAUAAGGGAUAAAGGAAGAAGCCGAAAAGUUGUUUAUAUAAAAGGACCUCAUGACGAGUUGCAACUACUGUUGUACACAGAGAAACCAAGUAAAGAGAGCAAGGGCAGACUUCAGUGCAGCUAAAAUCUUCUUCACUACCUGCAUCCACACUAGUUACUGAAAGGACCGACACAACAUUUCCUUCAAGAAUGGAUAUGAAACUAUCCUAAGAAGUCAAAGUGUCUGCCAGAUAGAGUGAGUUCUGAUGCAUCCUGAGACUGAUUAUCCUGCCAACUGUGAAAUUCAUCAUGAAUUAUGUGCUGCAAUAUACAGCCAAAACAUAAUGGGUGAAGGAACUGUAAGGCAAUGGUGUAGAGUGUUCAAAGAUUGGUGAACAAAUGUUCACUAUGAAAAGCGAAGUUGUCCGCCAUCUGUAGUGAGUGACAAUCUUGUUCAAAGUGAAAGACAGUGCUUCACAAUUUCAGAAAUUUUGUGUGAAUUUCCACAAAUUUCACGCACAGUUCUCUAUCAGAUUAUCACUGUUAAGCUAGGCUAUCACAAGUUGUGCGUAAGACUGGUUCCAAAAAUGUCAAGGGCAGGCACAAAAACACAGAGAACUGCUUCAGCUUUGCGUUUUUAGAGUGAUACCACAAAGAUGGUGACAAAUUUCUCAAUUACAUUGCAUGAACAACAGGUGAUGAAACCAGGGAUCCAUUUGUGAAUGCUGAAACCAAAGAGAAGGCAAAGCAGAGGAUGCACAUACAUUCACCAAA